GGUGAGGUGGCCGAGUUGGUCUAAGGCGUGAGAUUAAGGAGCUUGUCUUCAUCUUCUCAUCUAUUCGUAGGCGCGAGUUCGAAUCUCGUCCUCAUCA